rnacentral:rRNA from 1 species
GCCAGACUCCUACGGGAGGCAGCAGUGAGGAAUAUUGGUCAAUGGGCUUACGCCUGAACCAGCCAAGUCGCGUGAGGGAAGACUGCCCUAUGGGUUGUAAACCUCUUUUGUCAGGGAGCAAAGGGCGCCACGUGUGGCGCUUUGCGAGUACCUGAAGAAAAAGCAUCGGCUAACUCCGUGCCAGCAGCCGCGGUAAUACGGAGGAUGCGAGCGUUAUCCGGAUUUAUUGGGUUUAAAGGGUGCGUAGGCGGAGUGUCAAGUCAGCGGUAAAAUUUCGGGGCUCAACCCCGUCGUGCCGUUGAAACUGACGCCCUUGAAUGAGUGAGAAGUAAGCGGAAUGCGUGGUGUAGCGGUGAAAUGCAUAGAUAUCACGCAGAACGCCGAUUGCGAAGGCAGCAUACCGGCGCCCGACUGACGCUGAGGCACGAAAGCGUGGGUAUCGAACAGGAUUAGAUACCCGAGUAGA